rnacentral:lncRNA from 1 species
GAUUUUCUACCAGCCACGUCUUUCAUCUCCUAGGCGUUAUCUGAGCACAGCUCAUUUGUUUUCUUAUGCCAUUUCUUCUCUGUUCCUGAAGUCACGGCUCCCUGGAGAUGUUCAGCUCGUCUGCGCUUGGUCUUUGCCGGUAGCCGAGCUGCUCCCUAUGCUCGAGUUCCUAGCGUCCUGCAUCAGCUCGCCGGCAGCCAAGCUCUCUGGCACAAGCGCCUCUAAGCCCUGCUCCUUCUCCAACCGUGCCAAUGCUCGCCAGCCCUCAGCCCGCGUCUCUGGUACAAGUCGUCCCGUCAGCUGCCGCUCGUUCCUGACCAGUUCCUACCAGCGCCAUUGAUGAAGGUUCCAAUCAUUGCUUUCAACCUCGGCUCCCUAUCCUUGCCUAGCCUCACGUCGUCUUCAAUCUAGACGUCGCCCAGCACCAGACCUCCGUCUCCCACAUGCCGCUGUUUGUGCUCGACCUCCGUUCUGCAGUCCCGCCCUAGCGCCAGUUGUGUUCCGUCCCUGUUCGUCACCACGUCGUCGACUUCAGCUACCUGCCUCACUGUCGACUUACUGCUCAUCUCGCUGCGCUGUCUGAGUUUUGCCUCGCCUCGCUGUUCCUCAUCCUUGCUUUCUGGAGUUUCGGCAAGCCGUCGUCCUGUUGUGUUGUCGUGUGGUGCUCUCGACGUCGACCUAAGCACACUCCACACGUCGUGACAUCUCACUCAUCUCGUCGCCAUGCUGUCGUGAUAUUUGGUAUGGUAAUUUCUAUUUCCUUGGGUAUUAAAAUAUGUGCGUUGUGAUUGUAGGUCUAAUAUUUAUUGGAAUACCCGAAUCGCUUGCAGUAAUUUAUUGAAUGUCGUGUGGUAAAUCGCCAGUUUGAGAUAUAGGUUAUGGGAAUAGAGUUUCCGUGGGUAUAUUUGUCGAGCAUGUUUAAACUGGUUCUAAGUUUGCAGUGAGUGGUACAUCGGUGGUGCGUAAGUUAAAUUUAGUGUUUUAAGAAAUUAUCAAUAAGUCUAUCGAUGUUAAUUAUAUUCAGUGUGUUUCAUUAUAUUAUGUGAUUAGUGGUCAAUUAAAUGCCGUGAUUAAAUGUUACUGGCUACAUAAGAAUUUAGAAGCGAGUAGCAUCGCCAAUUCGAUCUUAUGUGAAACCCGAGAAUUUCGUAGUGGUUAGUGUACAUAUGUAGUCUAGAUAUUUAAGUUGUCGCGAAAAUAGUUUUACCGAACGCUAUAUUAUUUGAUUAUAUUUUAACCGUUAGGGUAAAUAUUGUGAUAUUUGAUUUUGUUAAGUGUGUAAUUCAAGUUAAGUAAAACACACAAUUUAAAGAGCUAAUUAAAUUAUUCCUAAACUUAUUUUAAGUCGUUGGUAAUCAAUAACGACGAGUCCAAGUUUAUUUAGAUUUCCGAUGAUAUAUUUUAAUAAGGAUGAUAGUGUGGGUUAAAUAAUUUAUUCUUACUUGAUUUCAGAAUUAGAUCCGAUUAGAAAGCAGGAACGUGAGUGUUGCACUUAGUGUGUAUGGUUUGCUGUUUCGUGAUGUUUGCGUUAGAUUCGGUUAAUCUAGAGAAGCAUGAUUAUUGCGCUUGGUCAUAAGGCGAUAGCUAGCGUUUGAUUAUGAAAUGUCAUGAUGCCUUCCCAUUAAGUGUUUAAUUCUUUACUGUGUAAAAUCAUAAUAUUAUCUUGCAAUAUUCAUCUUGAUAUUCAUACAUGUGCAUUGUGUAUCUCAUGAGGUACGAUAAAUAAUCGCGUGAUGCGGAAGAUGAGCCAAGUCGACCCCAAGCGCGGGCUACUCCGCAUGGUGAUGCUGAUGGACGAACCUGCCUGAUCAAGUGCUAGGACAAGGAUGAUCGUCAAGUGGACAUCGCCUAACAAACACUAACCUUGUGUUAUCCAGGCAAGCCCUGAUGCAUGCAACCCCUUCCUUAUGUUUUUAAAUUAUUUUUACACACUUUAAGUCUAGUGAAUGUGCAUUAGAUUAUAAGAGUUGCUUGGAAACCCUUUGAUGCAUUGGCUACCUUGAAAUCCAUUCCUUUUAUAGAUACUUCUGGCGAAGUAUCAAAAUAUGAUUUACAAAAAAUGCUUAGCCCUGCAUUUAAGCAGAUAGAGUUUGUCCUUUGCACUUAUGCCUAUCUCAGGUUUAUCUUGAGGAAGGAUGACUUGUACCUGCAAGAAUAUUUUCAUUGGGAGCAUGGUGGGAUCUUACUGCAAAGUUUCCUAUAAUGCUCUUUUCAUCCUAAGGAACACAAACACUCCUAAGGAUGGAAGUACUUAAAUUGAGACUUGGGCUAGGAACAGGUGAUGCUCCACCUAGGUUAAUUAAGGAUUGGAUGUGUAUAUAGGCCCGUAUGAUCAAGGACUAUCUUAACUGGCCACAUGCCCUGGAUAUGGACAGGGUAAGCUUGAACCCAGCUAUUCCAUACGUGAAAAGACAACCGCGCACUGGACGUGGGAGAUGGUGGGAGUAGCGUGUACCCUCCUAGCUAGAGGCUGGAUGGAGGAGUACUAUGCUCCCGAGUAGCGCGGACCGAUUCACGUUGUAGAGGAUCUGUGGGAACGUUUGACAUAUGCAACGGUUAAGUGCUACAUAUGUCGUGUGGUUAGAGAUCCUCAGCUGAGUAAAUCGAUUCAGAUCGCCGUUAUAUCCCCGGAGAGUGGAGACUUGAUCGUUGCCCUGCAACCUAAGUCAGGAUGUGAACAUUAUGAAUAAAAAUGGUGUUGUAUUGAUAAAAUGGUGAAAUUAGACUAGAUGCAACCAGAGUCUAUUAAUAUUUAAUCUAGUGUUAAAAUAUUGAAAGUAAGGACUCACUUUAGUAAGCUAUUUCUGCAAAAGUAUCUAAGUUGAUUCUUGCUAAAGCCUUUUCCUUGAUUCCUAUUUAACCAUCAUAUCCUUGAGAGUCUUUUCUUUAGUCGGGUAAGUCUUGCUGAGUACUUGCGUACUUAGGGUUUUAUUCCCAUUAUUGCUGCAGGUUACGAGUCACUUUGAUUGUGAUUGGUGUUAAGCGCCGGUGGGCACUGCCUUCUUAUAAGUUUAAGUACUUCUUCUAUACUUAUUAUUGAGGAUUGUCAUUGAGCUAGCAUAUAUUUCAAACUUAUAAAUAAUUUAUAACAUUUCAAAGUUUAUUCUUUGAACCACUUUUGUAACCACUCCGAUAAAUAUAAUGUAAAUUUGUUGUAACUUGUAAAAUGUGGUAAUAAGAUUUCCGCUGCAAAAUUGUUGGUGUGUGAUUUGUGUUUACUGAAUCCUGCAG